UACGGGGGGGGCAAGCGUUGUUCGGGAUUACUGGGCGUAAAGGGCGCGUAGGCGGCCUGCUAAGUCGGACGUGAAAUCCCCCGGCUCAACCGGGGAACUGCGUCCGAUACUGGUGGGCUCGAAUCCGGGAGAGGGAUGUGGAAUUCCAGGUGUAGCGGUGAAAUUCGUAGAUAUUCGGAGGAACACCAGUGGCGAAGGCGGCUCACUGGUCCGGUACUGACGCUGAGGUGCGAAAGCGUGGGGAGCAAACAGG
rnacentral:rRNA from 1 species